rnacentral:rRNA from 1 species
UACGUAGGGGCUAGCGUUAUCCGGAAUUACUGGGCGUAAAGGGUGCGUAGGCGGUCUUUCAAGCCAGAAGUGAAAGGCUACGGCUCAACCGUAGUAAGCUUUUGGAACUGUAAGACUUGAGUGCAGGAUAGGAGAGUGGAAUUCCUAGUGUAGCGGUGAAAUGCGUAGAUAUUAGGAGGAACACCAGUAGCGAAGGCGGCUCUCUGGACUGUAACUGACGCUGAGGCACGAAGCGUGGGAGCAAACAGGAUUAGAUACCCUGGUAGUCCCU